rnacentral:rRNA from 1 species
CCUACGGGAGGCUGCAGUGGGGAAUAUUGGACAAUGGGCGAAAGCCUGAUCCAGCCAUGCCGCGUGUGUGAAGAAGGCCUUCGGGUUGUAAAGCACUUUCAGUGGGGAAGAAAGCCUUGGGGCUAAUACCCUCGAGGAAGGACAUCACCCACAGAAGAAGCACCGGCUAACUCCGUGCCAGCAGCCGCGGUAAUACGGAGGGUGCGAGCGUUAAUCGGAAUUACUGGGCGUAAAGCGCGCGUAGGCGGUCUGAUAAGCCGGUUGUGAAAGCCCCGGGCUCAACCUGGGAACGGCAUCCGGAACUGUCAGGCUAGAGUGCAGGAGAGGAAGGUAGAAUUCCCGGUGUAGCGGUGAAAUGCGUAGAGAUCGGGAGGAAUACCAGUGGCGAAGGCGGCCUUCUGGACUGACACUGACGCUGGGGUGCGAAAGCGUGGGUAGCAAACAGGAUUAGAUACCCUAGUAGUC